CACGUAGGGUGCGAGCGUUUGUCCGGAAUUAUUGGGCGUAAAGAGCUCGUAGGCGGUGUGUCGCGUCGGCCGUGAAAACCUGCAGCUUAACUGUGGGCUUGCGGUCGAUACGGGCAUCACUGGAGUUCGGCAGGGGAGACUGGAAUUCCUGGUGUAGCGGUGAAAUGCGCAGAUAUCAGGAGGAACACCGGUGGCGAAGGCGGCUCUCUGGGGCCUUACCUGACGCUGGAGGACGAAAGCGUGGGGAGCAAACAGG
rnacentral:rRNA from 1 species